CGCAGAUAUCAGGAGAAACACCGAUGGCGAAGGCAGAUCUCUGGGCCGUAACUGACGCUGAGGAGCGAAAGGGUGGGGAGCAAACAGGCUUAGAUACCCUGGUAGUCCACCCCGUAAACGUUGGGAACUAGUUGUGGGGUCCAUUCCACGGAUUCCGUGACGCAGCUAACGCAUUAAGUUCCCCGCCUGGGGAGUACGGCUGCAAGGCUAAAACUCAAAGGAAUUGACGGGGACCCGCACAAGCGGCGGAGCAUGCGGAUUAAUUCGAUGCAACGCGAAGAACCUUACCAAGGCUUGACAUAUACGAGAACGGGCCAGAAAUGGUCAACUCUUUGGACGCUCGUAAACAGGUGGUGCAUGGUUGUCGUCAGCUCGUGUCGUGAGAUGUUGGGUUAAGUCCCGCAACGAGCGCAACCCUCGUUCUAUGUUGCCAGCACGUAAUGGUGGGAACUCAUGGGAUACUGCCGGGGUCAACUCGGAGGAAGGUGGGGAUGACGUCAAAUCAUUAUGCCCCUUAUGUCUUGGGCUUCACGCAUGCUACAAUGGCCGGUACAAAGGGCUGCAAUACCGUGAGGUGGAGCGAAUCCCAAAAAGCCGGUCCCAGUUCGGAUUGAGGUCUGCAACUCGACCUCAUGAAGUCGGGGUCGCUAGUAAUCGCAGAUCAGCAACGCUGCGGUGAA
rnacentral:rRNA from 1 species